rfam:Candidatus Nomurabacteria bacterium RIFCSPLOWO2_01_FTLL_33_17 rifcsplowo2_01_scaffold_36708, whole genome shotgun sequence.
GGGCGGUUAGCUCAGUUGGUAGAGCGCGUCAUUGACGUUGACGAUGUCACAGAUUCGAAUUCUGUACCGCCCA